rnacentral:lncRNA from 1 species
UUUGAAUAAUUCAUCCGUUUCACGGAAGUAUUUAAUUGCAUUUAUUCCACAAAUAACACAAUACAUAGAAGCACAGAAACGAUUAGAGAACUAAUAAAGCAGAUAUUACACAAUAUUUUCAUACAGAGAACUGGGUAUAACUAUAUGACUUUCUGAUCAUAUGUAAUCAACAUAAUCCAGUUUCGUCAACAACUGAUAUACAUGAAUCGUAGUUCAAUAUAUCUCAUGAUAUCCAUAUAUACACAAAACAUGAAAUCAAAAAGGAAGAAAAAGAUAAAGGAGUACCAAAUUACGCUUCUCAGAUAGGUAAACAGUCUCGGAUUGAGGUUUGGGAGCUAUGGUGCGCUUAGCUCUGGUGACUGCUUUGUUUUUGUUAUUCUCUGUGGCUUCCUCCUUCUGGCUCGCCUUCCUCUUUCCACCCUUCCUCAUUUUUAGGCAAUGGAUUCUACUUACACACGGAUCAUACAGAUACAAUAUAUAUAUAUAUAUAUAUAUAUUGAGAGAAAUCUAAGGUUUUGUCUGGUCGAGUUUACCAAAUUUUGGGAGGGCACGAUGGGAUCGUGAAUUAUACGCGCGUUAAUUUAACCCAGGGUUGAAGAGGUAGGGUUUUAGAGAGAUUGAGAGAGAGAGGCGCCGCGAGGGACACGAAGUGCUUAAGAGACUGA